rnacentral:rRNA from 1 species
UGAGGAAUAUUGGUCAAUGGGCGGGAGCCUGAACCAGCCAAGCCGCGUGAGGGAAUAAGGCCCUACGGGUCGUAAACCUCUUUUGUCGGGGAACAAAAGCGGGGACGCGUCCCCGUCUGCGUGUA